AGAGUUUGAUCCUGGCUCAGGACGAACGCUGGCGGCGUGCUUAACACAUGCAAGUCGAACGGACCUAGUUGGUGGUAACACCGACGAAAGUUAGUGGCGAACGGGUGCGUAACACGUGAGUAACCUGCCCUAGAGACUGGGAUAACACCGGGAAACCGGUGCUAAUACCGGAUACCCCCAUACCAUCGCAUGAUGGAAUGAGGAAAUGAUUUAUUGCUCUUGGAGGGGCUCGCGGCCUAUCAGCUUGUUGGUGAGGUAAUGGCUCACCAAGGCUUCGACGGGUAGCUGGUCUGAGAGGACGACCAGCCACACUGGGACUGAGACACGGCCCAGACUCCUACGGGAGGCAGCAGUGGGGAAUAUUGCGCAAUGGGCGAAAGCCUGACGCAGCAACGCCGCGUGGAGGACGAAGGCUCUCGGGUUGUAAACUCUUUUCAGCAGGGAAGAAAUUGACGGUACCUGCAGAAGAAGCACCGGCCAACUACGUGCCAGCAGCCGCGGUAAUACGUAGGGUGCAAGCGUUGUCCGGAUUCAUUGGGCGUAAAGAGCUCGUAGGCGGCUUGGCAAGUCGGAUGUGAAACCCUCAGGCUCAACCUGGGGAUGUCAUCUGAUACUGCCAUGGCUAGAGUACGGUAGGGGACUACGGAAUUCCUGGUGUAGCGGUGAAAUGCGCAGAUAUCAGGAGGAACACCGGUGGCGAAGGCGGUAGUCUGGGCCGUUACUGACGCUGAGGAGCGAAAGCGUGGGGAGCGAACAGGAUUAGAUACCCUGGUAGUCCACGCCGUAAACGUUGGGCACUAGGUGUGGGGUCUAUUCGACGGACCCCGUGCCGUAGCUAACGCAUUA
rnacentral:rRNA from 1 species